UACGGUAGGGUGCGAGCGUUAAUCGGAAUUACUGGGCGUAAAGCGUGCACAGGCGGCGCGUUAAGACAGGUGUGAAAGCCCCGAGCUUAACUUGGGAAUUGCGCUUGUGACUGGCGAGCUGGAGUGUGGCAGAGGGAGGUGGAAUUCCACGUGUAGCAGUGAAAUGCGUAGAGAUGUGGAGGAACACCGAUGGCGAAGGCAGCCUCCUGGGCCAGCACUGACGCUCAUGCACGAAAGCGUGGGGAGCAAACAGG
rnacentral:rRNA from 1 species